AAGAAGGCAGAUGCCCGUAAAACGGGUGGUGGCCCAGCACCGCGACCUCUAACGGAGGCAGAGGAGCUGGCCCUAAGCCAGAAUUUAGGAAGGCCAGUGGCUGAGGGAAUCCCUGGAGGGAGAUCAUCCUCUGAGCCCACCCCCCAAGACACAAGUGCCUUUAUAAAAUAUUCUGAUGGUGCUAUCUGCCUGGUGGAGCCCCCUCAUGCCACAACAGACCUUGUAACUGAUGAAGAGGAUGAGGAAACUGUGUCUGCUGCCUUUACAGAGGGGGAUCCAGAAAGGCCUAUAGAG